rnacentral:rRNA from 1 species
AGCGAACGCUGGCGGCAUGCUUAACACAUGCAAGUCGCACGGGCAGCAAUGUCAGUGGCGGACGGGUGAGUAACGCGUAGGUAUCUAUCCUUGGGUGGGGGACAACUGUGGGAAACUACAGCUAAUACCGCAUGAUGACCGAGGUCUAAAGGCGCAAGUCGCCUGGGGCGGAGCCUGCGUACGAUUAGCUUGUUGGUGGGGUAAAGGCCUACCAAGGCGACGAUCGUUAGCUGGUCUGAGAGGAUGAUCAGCCACAUUGGGGCUGAGACAC